rnacentral:rRNA from 1 species
AUUGAACGCUGGCGGCAGGCCUAACACAUGCAAGUCGAGCGAGCCGCGGACGUGUGAGAAAUCUCUGGGAAUUCCCCAGGCGAGGGGGAUCACAUUGGGACACGACCUCUAAUACCACAUACGAUUAGAUUGCCGAGGUGGGAUUAGCUAGUUGGUGGGGUAAUGGCUCACCAACGGGACGAUCCAUCGCUGGUCUGAGAGGAUGAUCAGCCACACUGGAACUGAGACACGGUCCAGACUCCUACGGGAGGCAGCAGUGGGGAAUAUUGCACAAUGGGGGAAAGCCUGAUGCAGCCAUGCCGCGUGUGUGAAGAAGGCCUUCGGGUUGUAAAGUACUUUCAGCGAGGAGGCGUUACUCGCAGAAGAAGCACCGGCUAACUCCGUGCCAGCAGCCGCGGUAAUAC